rnacentral:rRNA from 1 species
ACGGAAGGCAGCAGUGAGGAAUAUUGGUCAAUGGACGGAAGUCUGAACCAGCCAUGCCGCGUGCAGGAAUAAGGCCCUAUGGGUCGUAAACUGCUUUUGUGGUGGAGCAAUAAGGCGUACGUGUACGUCGAUGAGAGUACAUCACGAAUAAGCAUCGGCUAACUCCGUGCCAGCAGCCGCGGUAAUACGGAGGAUGCGAGCGUUAUCCGGAUUUAUUGGGUUUAAAGGGUGCGUAGGCUGUUCUUCAAGUCAGAGGUGAAAUACCGGGGCUCAACCCUGGAACUGCCUUUGAUACUGGAGGGCUUGAAUACUGUUGCCGUGGGAGGAAUGAGUAGUGUAGCGGUGAAAUGCAUAGAUAUUACUCAGAACACCGAUUGCGAAGGCAUCUCACGAAGCAGCGAUUGACGCUGAGGCACGAAAGCGUGGGGAUCAAACAGGAUUAGAUACCCUGGUA